rnacentral:rRNA from 1 species
AGUGAACGCUGGCGGUAGGCCUAACACAUGCAAGUCGAACGGCAGCACAGGAGAGCUUGCUCUCUGGGUGGCGAGUGGCGGACGGGUGAGGAAUACAUCGGAAUCUACUUUUUCGUGGGGGAUAACGGAGGGAAACUUACGCUAAUACCGCAUACGACCUACGGGUGAAAGCAGGGGACAUUCGGGCCUUGCGCGAUUGAAUGAGCCGAUGUCGGAUUAGCUAGUUGGCGGGGUAAAGGCCCACCAAGGCGACGAUCCGGAGCUGGUCUGAGAGGAUGAUCAGCCACACUGGAACUGAGACACGGUCCAGACUCCUACGGGAGGCAGCAGUGGGGAAUAUUGGACAAUGGGCGCAAGCCUGAUCCAGCCAUACCGCGUGGGUGAAGAAGGCCUUCGGGUUGUAAAGCCCUUUUGUUGGGAAAGAAAUCCAGCUGGCUAAUACCCGGUUGGGAUGACGGUACCCAAAGAAUAAGCACCGGCUAACUUCGUGCCAGCCGCCGCGGUAA